AACCUGGUUGAUCCUGCCAGUAGUCAUAUGCUUGUCUCAAAGAUUAAGCCAUGCAUGUCUAAGUACAAGCCUCACUAAGGUGAAACCGCGAAUGGCUCAUUAAAUCACACCUAAUCUACUGGAUAGUAAAAAGUUACUUGGAUAACUGCGGUAAUUCUGGAGCUAAUACAUGCACAAAGCCGCGACUCACGAAGCGGCGCUUUUAUUAGAUCAAAACCAAACGGCUUCGGCUGUACUCAUGGUGACUCUGAAUAACUUUGGGCUGAUCGCAUAGCCUUGAGCUGGCGACAUAUCCUUCGAAGGUGUGCCCUAUCAACUUUCGACUGUGGCAUAGACGCCCACAGUGGUUUUGACGGGUAACGGGGAAUCAGGGUUCGAUUCCGGAGAGGGAGCCUUAAAAACGGCUACCACAUCUAAGGAAGGCAGCAGGCACGCAAAUUACCCAAUGACCGAAGGUCGAGGUAGUGACGAAAAAUAACGAUAGAGGACUCAUCCGAGGCCCUCUAAUUGGAAUGAGUACACUUUAAAACCGUCCCCGAGGAUCUAUUGGAGGGCAAGUCUGGUGCCAGCAGCCGCGGUAAUUCCAGCUCCAAUAGCGUAUAUUAAAGUUGUUGUGGUUAAAAAGCUCGUAGUUGGAUCUCAACAGCCUUGAAGCGGUUAACUUUGUAGUUUUACUGCUUUAUAGGCUGUGCUUUUGCUGGAGGUUUAGGGGUGCUCUUGAUCGAGUGUCUCUGGAUGCCAGCAGGUUUACUUUGAAAAAAUUAGAGUGCUCAAAGCAGGCUAAAAUGCCUGAAUAUUCGUGCAUGGAAUAAUAGAAUAGGAUGUCGAUCCUAUUUUGUUGGUUUUCGGGACUCGACAUAAUGAUAAAUAGGGACAGUCGGGGGCAUUUGUAUUCAAACGACAGAGGUGAAAUUCUUGGACCGUUUGAAGACAAACUACUGCGAAAGCAUUUGCCAAGAAUGUUUUCAUUAAUCAAGAACGAAAGUUAGAGGUUCGAAGGCGAUUAGAUACCGCCCUAGUUCUAACCAUAAACGAUGCCAGCUAGCGAUCUGCCUGCGUUUUUUACUGUAGACUGGGCAGGAAGCUUCCGGGAAACCAAAGCAUUUGGGUUCCAGGGGAAGUAUGGUUGCAAAGCUGAAACUUAAAGGAAUUGACGGAAGGGCACCACCAGGAGUGGAGCCUGCGGCUUAAUUUGACUCAACACGGGAAAUCUCACCAGGCCCGGACACUGGAAGGAUUGACAGAUUGAGAGCUCUUUCUCGAUUCAGUGGGUGGUGGUGCAUGGCCGUUCUUAGUUGGUGGAGUGAUUUGUCUGGUUAAUUCCGAUAACGAACGAGACUCUUUUCUGCUAAAUAGGUUUGCCGUCUUUUUUGCGGUAAACAUUCUUCUUAGAGAGACUGGCGGCGUCUAGCCGCACGAGAUUGAGCAAUAACAGGUCUGUGAUGCCCUUAGAUGUUCUGGGCUGCACACGCGCUACACUGAAUGGAUCAGCGUGUUUUCCCUUCCCGAGAGGGACGGGUAACCCGCUGAACCCCGUUCGUGGUAGGGAUCGGAGCUUGCAAUUAUUCUCCGUGAACCAGGAAUUCCCAGUAAGCGCAAGUCAUAAGCUUGCGUUGAUUACGUCCCUGCCCUUUGUACACGCCGCCCGUCGCUACUACCGAUUGAACGUUUUAGUGAGAAAUCUGGAUUCGACCUCUGUGGGUUCAUUCCCACAGUGCUGUCGGAGAAGUUUUUCAAACUUGAGCGUUUAGAGGAAGUAAAAGUCGUAACAAGGUAGCUGUAGGUGAACCUGCAGAAGGAUC
rnacentral:rRNA from 1 species